rnacentral:rRNA from 1 species
CGCGUAGGCGGAUUAGAAAGUUGGGGGUGAAAUCCCAGGGCUCAACCCUGGAACUGCCUCCAAAACUACUAGUCUAGAGUUCGAGAGAGGUGAGUGGAAUUCCGAGUGUAGAGGUGAAAUUCGUAGAUAUUCGGAGGAACACCAGUGGCGAAGGCGGCUCACUGGCUCGAUACUGACGCUGAGGUGCGAAAGUGUGGGGAGCAAACA